GAGGGGCCUGGGCUGCGGGGCGGCCCCGGAGGCGGCACUGAGCGGCUGGUGAGCCCGGCAGACCCUGCAGCACCGCUCCCGCGAGCAACGCUCCGCACCUGCUGCCCUCGCCCGGCCCGGGGCGCCGCUGCCAUGCGGCUGGCGCUGCUCUGGGCCCUGGGGCUUCUUGGCGCGGGCAGCCCGCUGCCUUCCCGGCCGCUCCCCAAUAUAGGUGGCACGGAGGAGGAGCAGGCAAGGCCAGAGGGGGCCUGGAGUGGACCCUCGGAGGUCUUUCCCCUUGGGGACCACCAGGAGCUCGGCCAAGCUGAGGUGCUGGAGACACACCCGCCUGAGGCACUGGAGAUCAAACUGGAGCUUGAAGGGGAGAGUCACGUCCUGGAGCUGUUGCCAAGCAGGGAGCUGGUCCCUGGCCGCCCAACCCUGGUGUGGUACCAGCCUGAUGGCAGCCGGGUGGUCAGUGAGGGACACAGUCUGGGGAGCUGCUGCUUUCAGGGCCGGGUGCGAGGCCACGCGCACUCCUGGGCAUCCAUCUGCACCUGCUCCGGGCUCCGGGGCGUGGUGGUCCUGUCCCCAGAGCGAAGCUAUGCCCUGGAGCAGGGACACGGGGACCAGGCGGCUUCUCCCCGCAUCUCUCAGAUCCGUGGCUCUCUGCUGCCACAUCACACCUGCGUCCGGAGCAGGCAGGGGCCUGUGCCCAGCCACGUUCUGACAGAGCCGCCCAGCGGACAACACCGUGGCCGCCGGAGAAGAGAUGUGGUGACAGAGACCAAGAUCGUGGAGCUGGUGAUCGUGGCGGAUCAUUCUGAGGUGCAGAGGUACCCGGACCCCCAGCAGCUGCUGAACCGCUCACUUGAGGUGGCGAUGUACGUGGAUACGUUCUUCCGGCCCCUCAAUGUCCGGGUGGUGCUCGUGGGCCUAGAAGCCUGGACCCAGCAUGACCUGGUGGAAAUCAGCCAGGACCCAGGGGUCACUCUAGACAACUUCCUGCGCUGGCGCCAGACGGACCUGCUGCCCAGACUGCCCCACGACAGUGCCCAGCUGGUGACUGCAACCGUGUUCUCUGGGCCGUCCGUGGGGCUCGCCGUGCAGAACUCCAUCUGCUCCCCAGAGCUCUCGGGAGGCGUCAACAUGGACCAUUCCACCAGCAUCCUGGGAGUUGCCUCCUCCAUUGCCCAUGAGCUGGGCCACAGCUUGGGCCUGGACCACGACGUGCCUGGGAACAGCUGCCCCUGUCCAGGCCCAGCCCCUGCCAAGACCUGCAUCAUGGAGGCCUCCACAGACUUCCUGCCAGGCCAGAACUUCAGCAACUGCAGCCGCCGGGCGCUGGAGCGGGCCCUGCAGGCCGGCAUGGGCAGCUGUCUCUUUGACCAGACGUCUGGUCAGCGGGCCCUGGGCAGCCUGUGUGGAAACCAGCUUGUGGAGCCGGGGGAGCAGUGUGACUGCGGCUUCCCUGACGUCUGCACUGACCCCUGCUGUGACUACUUCACCUGUCAGCUGCGGCCAGGGGCACAGUGCGCCUCCCAGGAGUCCUGCUGUCAGAACUGCCAGCUGCGCCCUGCUGGCUGGCAGUGCCGCCCGGCCCGAGGGGACUGUGACCUGCCGGAAUUCUGCCCCGGAGACAGCGCGCAGUGCCCAGCAGACAUAGGCCUGGGGGACGGCGAACCGUGUGCGGGGGGCACGGCCGUGUGCAUGCGGGGGCGCUGCGCGUCCUACGCCCAGCAGUGCCAGGCGCUCUGGGGCCCAGGGGCACGGCCCGCCGCACCACCCUGCCUUCAGGCUGCCAACACGCGGGGGGACGCGUUCGGGAGCUGCGGGCACCGCCCCAAUGGCAGCUACGUGGCCUGUGCGCCCAGUGACGUCAUCUGUGGGCAGCUCCAGUGCCAAGGGGGCGGUGCGCAGCCCCUGCUGGGGGCGGCCGCAGAGCUGCGAUGGGAGACCCUGGACGCCAAUGGCACCCGGCUCAACUGCAGCCUCGCGCACCUGGACCUGGGCAGCGAUGUGGUGCAGCCGCUCCUGGCACUGCCUGGCACCGCCUGCGGCCCUGGCCUGGUAUGCAUUGAGCAGCGGUGCCAACCCGCCAGCCUCCUGGGAGCACAGAAAUGUAGCAGCAGAUGCCACGGGCAUGGGGUCUGCAACAGCGAUGGCAACUGUCACUGCGAGGAGGGCUGGGCGCCCCCCGACUGCGCUGCCCAGAGCAGAGCAACCAGCUCCCUGACCACCGGGCUGCUCCUCAGCCUCCUGCUGCUGCUGGUCCUGGUGCUGCUUGGUGCCAGCUACUGGCAUCGUGCCCGCCUCCGCCAGAGGCUCUGCCAGCUCAAGGGGCCCAGCUGCCAAUACAGGGCAGCCCAGCCCAUCCCCCCUGAACGCCCAGGACCCCCGCAGAGGACCUUGCUGACGCCAGGUGCCAAGGCCAGCUCUGGCAGCUUCCCGGCUGCCCCCUCCAGGCCGCUGCCUCCUGACCCUGUACGCAAGAGACUCCAGGUAAAUCUGGCCCAGGGCAGGUGGGAAGCUUGGCGCCUAGCCUCAGCUCUCAUCCCUGUUCCCUGCCAGCGGUGCUCUUCAUUCGGGGACCAGGGUGCCCCUUCGCCUUCAGACACUUUGAGCCCCAGAAGCAGCAAAGGGCUGAGCUGGCGGAUCGACCCAAUCCCCCUACCCGCCCUCUGCCCGCUGACCCAGUGGUGAGGCGCCCCAAGGUAACAGUGUGGGAGAGAGAAGGGCACAGCCUCCUCCCCCACCUAGGGCUGCUGUGCUGGUGGCCGUGGCGGUGGUGGCCGUGGCGGUGGUGGCCGUGGUGAGAUGUCCCUUUGGUGCCCCAGUGGCUUCUCUAGUGGUGACAGGUUUGUUUGGAGACAGAGGUGCCCACUGAUGCUGCCCCUGGCCCAGCUGGUGUUCCCCAGCACUGGGGCAUGGGAGGGGGCAGUGUGACACACUCCCAAGUGACUCCCCCCUGCCUUCUCUCUCUCAGUCUCUGGGGCCCACCAAGCCCCCACCCCCAAGGAAGGCACUGCCCACCGACCCUCAGGGCAGGCGCCCUUCUGGGGACACACCCAGUCCAGAAGCUGGAUUCCUGCCUUUAGUGGUACCCUCCAGGCCUGCGCCACCGCCCCCUUCGGC